AUUGAACGCUGGCGGCAGGCCUAACACAUGCAAGUCGAACGAGUGGCGGACGGGUGAGUAAUGUCUGGGAAACUGCCCGAUGGAGGGGGAUAACUACUGGAAACGGUAGCUAAUACCGCAUACCAUCAGAUGUGCCCAGAUGGGAUUAGCAAGUUGGUGGGGUAACGGCUCACCAAGGCGACGACCCCUAGCUGGUCUGCGAGGAUGACCAGCCACACUGGAACGGAGACACGGUCAAGACUACUACGGGAGGCAGCAGUGGAGAAUAUUGCACAAUGGGCGCAAUCCUGAUGCAGCCAUGCCGCGUGAAUGAAGAAGGCCUUCGGGUUGUAAAGUACUUUCAGCGAGGAGGCGUUACUCGCAGAAGAAGCACCGGCUAACUCCGUGCCAGCCGCCGCGGUAAUAC
rnacentral:rRNA from 1 species